rnacentral:rRNA from 1 species
GACGUAGGGUGCGAGCGUUGUCCGGAAUUAUUGGGCGUAAAGAGCUCGUAGGCGGUUUGUCGCGUCGACUGUGAAAACCUACAGCUUAACUGUGGGCUUGCAGUCGAUACGGGCAGACUUGAGUUCGGUAGGGGAGACUGGAAUUCCUGGUGUAGCGGUGAAAUGCGCAGAUAUCAGGAGGAACACCUGUGGCGAAAGCGGCUCACUGGACCAUAACUGACGCUGAUGCACGAAAGCUGGGGGAGCAAACAGG